UCUGCUUGCUUUGUGUAGACACGAACGCUGCACUCUGUGCAACAAAGCCGCGAGAAGGCGUCAACAUGCGAUAUCUGAUUCUUGCACUGGCGCUAUUUACUGCUGCCAUCUGUGCUUCUUCUGACGAAAAAGCAUCGAUCAUUCCCUGUGAGACCGAACCGUGUCCACCGGGCUACAAAUGCAGGUACAUUCGUUGCGUCACGCAUCCUUGCCCACAGAGCCACUGUGUAAAAGAGAAUUCUACUGAUAUUUUGUGAAGCCAAGGAACAAACUGGAUUAUGUUAGGAUGCACAAAAACAUGACCUCACAUACUUCCGAAAUGUGCAAGGUGACUGGAAUUCUAAACCCUCUGCCCCUUCGUCGGUGUUGGCACAAAUAAAUCAAGAUGAAAAGAGAUGGUUAGCGUUCUUACAAUAGGGAAAUUAGAAUAAAAACUACAGAUACAAUUUCGUGCUUUGCUUUCGGCCUGGUUGGGCCAUGAAAAAUUAGUUCUGAUGAUUAUGCUUUAAUGAACAGUUGAGUUCAAAAGGGGACAGCCAACUCAUACCUUCUGAGACGCUUCAGCUCUGAAGCGGCCGCCGUACAGACGAACUUAAAGUGCCCAUCUGCAUUGCAAGACAUGUUCUUCGCGUGCCAAUAACCACUGUACAAGCGUAGUCCAACUUCUACAUCCUUCGAGGUCUUCAUCAAUCUG